UUACUGCCCUUUGUUUAUAUUCGAUAAGGAUGAAUAAAUCUAAAUAAAUUGCAAUUUAUCAUACGUGAAAACCCUAUGUGUUUAUUAUGUGUGUGAUUCAAUUAUAUUGUUCAACAGCAGUUGAAGUAUAUGCGCUUCCCGCCGCUCAAAUUAUUGUGCAAUGAUUAAUUUUGCUGUAAGCUUUUAUCUCCAUUGCAAUUUGCAUGUGAUUUCGGAAGUUUUUUUGUUCGGAUAAGUACUCAAUGGAGCCUUGUUUUUUAUUGGUACUCAUCACUGACAUCAGUUAAAGAUUUUUGGCCAAAGGAAACAUCUAUUCCAAGCUGGCAGAUCUUCAUGGAAUCAGCAGAUCAUCUUUCGUUAAUUGACAUGCCUUCACGAGUUCAAUCAGCAAACAUAUGAUCGGUUUCCAGUCUGUGUACAACAACAAACUUGCAUGAAGGUUGGAUUCUGCCACAAGGCCCGGGAGCAGUGGAUGGGACUCUCAUACCCAUAAUACUGAAUACGUUAUAUUACACACAUGCUGUUGAACACAGCAGGAACUCUUGAAGAAAAAAAUGUGUAUUUUUUUAUUCGAACUUAAAUGUAAAAUAUAUAUUUAAUUUUAGCUCGACAAUACCUUGAAUGAUAAGCUGUGUAUAAAAUUAUGGUAAACAUGCAACAUCCUUAUAUCACUGUUUCUAUUACAUAUUUUCAUUAAAAGCACUUAUGUAUUCAGGGUCAUUAUGUCAUUGUGAGGUCACUGACCAAGUUGCUUAUCUCUGACCUGCAUUUAGCUUAAUAAUGCCCCUUUUGUACUUAAAAUGUUCCACUUAAAUUGUGUGUACAGCUACUCCAUAUCCCUAUAUUUUCCACAGAUAAUCCUUCACAUAUGUCGUCAGAUUUUUUUUUAAAUUAUAUAAAUUAUAUUUCUUUGGGUCACUGUUAUAACCACUACAAAUAUUUACUGUUGUUGCGAAUAAAGU